AGAAGAUGACGAGUGGCGGACGGGUGAGUAAUGCUUGGGAACUUGCCUUUGCGAGGGGGAUAACAGUUGGAAACGACUGCUAAUACCGCAUAAUGUCUACGGACCAAACGGGGCUUAGGCUCCGGCGCAAAGAGAGGCCCAAGUGAGAUUAGCUAGUUGGUAAGGUAACGGCUUACCAAGGCGACGAUCUCUAGCUGUUCUGAGAGGAAGAUCAGCCACACUGGGACUGAGACACGGCCCAGACUCCUACGGGAGGCAGCAGUGGGGAAUAUUGCACAAUGGGGGAAACCCUGAUGCAGCCAUGCCGCGUGUGUGAAGAAGGCCUUCGGGUUGUAAAGCACUUUCAGUUGUGAGGAAAAGUUAGUAGUUAAUACCUGCUAACCGUGACGUUAACAACAGAAGAAGCACCGGCUAACUCCGUGCCAGCAGCCGCGGUAAUACGGAGGGUGCGAGCGUUAAUCGGAAUUACUGGGCGUAAAGCGCAUGCAGGCGGUUUGUUAAGCUAGAUGUGAAAGCCCCGGGCUCAACCUGGGAUGGUCAUUUAGAACUGGCAGACUAGAGUCUUGGAGAGGGGAGUGGAAUUCCAGGUGUAGCGGUGAAAUGCGUAGAUAUCUGGAGGAACAUCAGUGGCGAAGGCGACUCCCUGGCCA
rnacentral:rRNA from 1 species